UGACCCUGGAGGAACUUAUAUGGAGCCAACAAAAAUAAGUCCUCAUAAAGACGACCCACCAGAUUUGAGGACAAAUCCUUCUCAAGAGGGAGGGGAUGAUACGCGGGGCCCAAGCCCAAUAAAUAAAGUCCACCAAAGAAGGAUAAAGAAGUCAUUUUACAUAAAGGAGGGGUGAGUUUAGCUUGAUAAGGGGUGCAUCGGGAACUUUCCUAUUUUAGAAAUUGAAAUAAACGUGUACUCCAUAUAGAUUCUAGAAGCUAGCAUAUUUAGCACAUGUAUUAGAGUUAGGCAACGUGAUUCAUAGUGGCUGAACACGUUUUUCAUCACAAGUCCAAGGUUGAUGAGUCUAUAUAACUCACCUUGGCUGUCCUUGUAUUCACUUUGGAAUAUAUGAGAAAUUUCUACAUUCUGAAAUUUAUCUCUACCGAGCAAAUGCUUACCAAAGUCAUCUUCUCCAUCAACUCUCUCCCACCUCUUAGCUUUCUUCCAACAAUGAGGCUGUCUGAGCUAAGGACCACACCAUCUCCUUCUCUGCCGAAACAAGCAUCUCACUGAACUCCACCAAAUUUCGCUGCCAC
rnacentral:lncRNA from 1 species